rnacentral:lncRNA from 1 species
CCGCGACCAGUUGAUUUUGUUCAGUUAGGAUAUAAGGUUGUUCAGAUUAAUAAAGCCUUAAUUGGUAUUUGUAAAGAUGAGAAAAUAAGUUUCAUUAAGUCUUAUAGAAGAUUUUUAUUUAAGGGCUCUCCUAAAAGAGAUUUAUUUGCAAUUAAAGAUGGAGGUUUGCAUUUAAAUGAAGCUGGAGUUGCCCAGCUUAAGAUGUGUUUUAUUCAUGUCAUUUCACAUUUGUAAAUUGUAUAUGUUUAAUUAUGUAGUUGUAAUUUAUAGUAUGUUAAUUCUGAUUUGUUCAUAUUUUGUAGAUAACCAUUCUAGUAUGUGGCUUACAAUGAAGUUCUUUAUUCGUUGAGUCAGAAGAUUUUCAAAGAAGUAACAUAUUCUUUGGAUCUUCAGUAGGAGAUUUACAAGAAAGUAUCGUUUUGAUUUCUUGAGUCUCGUCAGGCUUACACAAGUGUAUAUCAGUUUGUGGGUCUGAGUUAUUGCUAUUCUAAGAGUGUUUUGUUUUGUUUUAAGAAUAUAGUUUUCUUUUUUUUUUUAUAAUUUAUUUUUCUUUUUUUUUUUUUGUCUUUUGCGGGCUUGUUUGGCGGUUUAUUUUUGUAGGGCCCGCAAUUGUGUAUACUCUAUGUCAUGUAUGUGUAUAAAUUAUUUGUUAAAUGAACUUGUACAAUAAUUUUCGGCCAAAAUAAAAGUUUUAUUUAUCUUGUUUUAUAUUCUGAGCCAAAGAUAAUUGUAUAGUUUUUAAUUCUAAAAACGCAUAAUUAUAUGCGAAGUUCGUUUUCUUCGACAUUUCGUAAUUCUCUACUAUCUAUCGUAUAUGUUCAGUGAGUACUUCUUAGUAACUUUGUAAUCAUUAUUAGAUAUAUUUUCGAUUAGUUACCCUCCCACCCAUCCCUAAUGUUUAAUUAUUGUACUUGUGAGUUUAAUAUUGACAGAUUUAAUUUGUGCGGUUUAUUUUUGUAGGGCCCGCAAUUGUGUAUACUCUAUGUCAUGUAUGUGUAUAAAUUAUUUGUUAAAUGAACUUA